UCUUUAUUUAAUUUGAGACUUUGCAAUUUGCUAAUGUUCAAAAGAAAAGACGACGAAUUACAAUGUUCAGCCUUAACCAAGAUCACUUGAAAUAUUAAGUAAUCUUAUGUAAAGUUUUCUAUAGAAAAGCUUAGUCGGACUUAACCAAUUUAAAGAAUAAAAAAAUAACGACAUUGACAAACUAGAAAGCCGAUGCAAAGAAGAGUAAAGACCCCCAUAGAAAAAUGAACGGGGUCAUACAUUUAUUUCGACGUAGAAUAAUGACCUCCUAGCUGAAUAAUAAUUGAAUUGUGUUUCAAAAUAAGCAAUACCCAGGGGUCAUUUUUCUUCAUGUUAAACGUGAAGAGAAAUGACUGCGGUAGAAACAAUUACCCUGUCUGAAACAAGAAUAAAUUUGGGUGUGACCCCACAUCAAAAAUGUUAAAAGUAUCAAAAUUUUAAUAGAACUCGACUGAUUUUGAACUUAAAAACACAUAACUUGUUAGAAAGUCGUUCUAUAUAGUUUUUCUUGUCCAUAGCAAACACAAUAGCUUAUACCUACUCAAAUUGUUUCUUAACAUUUAGGUAUCUUCUCUCGUCGACAUAUGGAGGUGAAAUGUCAAUACACUAGCGUAGAGAUAUGCAGAACCGUACGCGUACAAGUUACUUUACCAUGAAUAAUAACUAACAACAUUUUUAUAUAGCUUUAUUUUGGUCUCAGCGCUAUUAUUCAUUUAUCAUUUUACAGAUGUUACAUAAUGUUUGUAGUAUAUACUGUUGUAAUUUUCCUGUACAUCAGUCGGCAUUAGUCAGCUGUCCCGAUGUCAAUAAUCUGUAUCACACAAUGUCUGUCAGAUCUUAAAUAAAUGUUGAAAUG
rnacentral:misc_RNA from 1 species